UACAGGGGGUGCAAACGUUGCUCGGAAUCAUUGGGCGUAAAGCGCACGUAGGCGGUUUGUUAUGUCGGAUGUGAAAGCCCUUGGCUCAACUGAGGAAGUGCAUCCGAAACUGGCAAGCUAGAGUACUAAAGAGGGUCGCGGAAUUCCCGGUGUAGAGGUGAAAUUCGUAGAUAUCGGGAGGAACACCGGUGGCGAAGGCGGGUCUCUGGGCCGAUACUGACGCUGAGGAGCGAAAGCGUGGGGAGCGAACAGG
rnacentral:rRNA from 1 species